GCCUUCGUGUUGUAAUUGGAAGCGCACUCGACAUGUAUUCGAGAAGUCUAGGGUUCGAAUCCCUGCGAGGGCA
rnacentral:tRNA from 1 species